rnacentral:lncRNA from 1 species
AUGCCAUCCCCAAGUCCACAUUUGUGCCCAGGGGUCCCAUGCUAUCCCAUCAGUGUGUCUGAAGCCAACCCAACCACACCUACCCUUUCCCAGACUCCUGCCUCGCUCAGCCCCAAGUCCAGCCUGUUUCUGCUGGACCACAUUCUUCCCAUUUGCCCUCUUUUCAUCUCCUCCUCUCCCACUGCAGCGGUUUGUCUCCCUGCCUCCUGUCCUUCGCCUCCCUCCCCACAUCCUGCACUCGGUAACCAAGCAGUCACUUUAGAGCCAGCUCUCACUACCCUCAGCCCUGUUCAGCGCCUUCAAGGGCUCCCUGAGCACGGCCGGUCUGGACUCCAUGUCGUUUGUAUCUUCAUUCUACAGUCCCCAAGCACACACCUGGCUCUGGAACAGGUUAAGCCAGGCAUUCAGGGCCUCCAGGCAUGGCUCCUUCCCAUAGCCCUCCGGCCAGCCUGGGCCACUCAUGAGUGCCUGGCUCUUCCCUGCCUCAGAAAUGUCCUCCUUCCUUCCCACACCAAUGCUGGAGGCCUGGCUCAAAAGCCACUGCCCCUGACUCUUUUGUAUUCAGCCCAGAGUACCCUGCCCAGCUGCCUGCCUCCCUUCUUUGCCUGGCAUGCUGUGCUUUGGCCAUGGGCCCCAGCCAUGCCCUGCAAAGCCCUGUGUGGAGUGGGCAACACCACCCAUCUGUGUAGUCACCCCGGGGGCCCGCAGGGCAGGGACGUGGGGAAAGGGAAGUUGACCAGAAGCCUCUGGGUAGAGGAGAGGCCUAGUGCUGGGGUUCCCCUCAGGCCUCAGGGACCCCUACUAGGGCUGUGCAGUGAGAACAGAGAGGAGGCUGAAGCCAGAGAUGGCCAAGGGCCUGCGGCGCGGUCUAGAGAGCAGACAUGGCUUGUGACUGCUUCUGGGGAGGGGCGUCAGCUUGGAGCCUGCUGUGCAGGGGUGUUCUGCGGGCCUGAGAAGGUCGCGGUCAGCCCAGACACUGCGCCAGAUGUAACACUGCUGGCACCUCCUCCUACUUACCUGGUAAGUGGCAGAAGCUGCUCUCUCCUCCCUGAGAAAAGGUGA